GCAUGCAUGAUACUGCAACCACAGCUGAGGUAACACAGCCCAGGCUUCCCUUGGACUCCAAGGGAAGCCUGGGCUGUGUUAGGCUUGGAGUUAAGUAUAAGGUUUGAGGGCUAUAGAGUUGAAUACCAAUAUACUCUGUCUCUUCAAACCGUCCGAGAAAAGACUUUCAGCCAUGAUAAGAGGAGCAGAGAAUGGGAAGAGUGUCAUUGUCAAGGAUUACAAGCAGGAGGACAUUGAGAAUUUACUCGAGUCGUAUUUAGUGAGACAGUUUAACUUAUUGCACUUGACAUGCGAUGCAGUGACAUAACAAUGAGAUAAGAAAAAUGAUUGAAUUUGCAUUUUAUGAUCAUGCUAUAUGUAUAUGUACAAAGUUGAGGCUAUUUCUUGCAACAGUUUAUGAAUGUCUGAAAAA